UGGCGGCAGGCUUAACACAUGCAAGUCGAGCGGGGGAAGGUAGCUUGCUACUGGACCUAGCGGCGGACGGGUGAGUAAUGCUUAGGAAUCUGCCUAUUAGUGGGGGACAACAUUCCGAAAGGAAUGCUAAUACCGCAUACGUCCUACGGGAGAAAGCAGGGGACCUUCGGGCCUUGCGCUAAUAGAUGAGCCUAAGUCGGAUUAGCUAGUUGGUGGGGUAAAGGCCUACCAAGGCGACGAUCUGUAGCGGGUCUGAGAGGAUGAUCCGCCACACUGGGACUGAGACACGGCCCAGACUCCUACGGGAGGCAGCAGUGGGGAAUAUUGGACAAUGGGGGGAACCCUGAUCCAGCCAUGCCGCGUGUGUGAAGAAGGCCUUAUGGUUGUAAAGCACUUUAAGCGAGGAGGAGGCUACUAGUAUUAAUACUACUGGAUAGUGGACGUUACUCGCAGAAUAAGCACCGGCUAACUCUGUGCCAGCAGCCGCGGUAAUACAGAGGGUGCGAGCGUUAAUCGGAUUUACUGGGCGUAAAGCGUGCGUAGGCGGCCAUUUAAGUCAAAUGUGAAAUCCCCGAGCUUAACUUGGGAAUUGCAUUCGAUACUGGAUGGCUAGAGUAUGGGAGAGGAUGGUAGAAUUCCAGGUGUAGCGGUGAAAUGCGUAGAGAUCUGGAGGAAUACCGAUGGCGAAGGCAGCCAUCUGGCCUAAUACUGACGCUGAGGUACGAAAGCAUGGGGAGCAAACAGGAUUAGAUACCCUGGUAGUCCAUGCCGUAAACGAUGUCUACUAGCCGUUGGGGCCUUUGAGGCUUUAGUGGCGCAGCUAACGCGAUAAGUAGACCGCCUGGGGAGUACGGUCGCAAGACUAAAACUCAAAUGAAUUGACGGGGGCCCGCACAAGCG
rnacentral:rRNA from 1 species